rnacentral:rRNA from 1 species
GCAGUCGAGCGGCAGCGACUUAACUGAACCUUCGGGGAACGUUAAGGGCGGCGAGCGGCGGACGGGUGAGUAAUGCCUGGGAAUAUGCCCUGAUGUGGGGGAUAACUAUUGGAAACGAUAGCUAAUACCGCAUAAUCUCUUCGGAGCAAAGAGGGGGACCUUCGGGCCUCUCGCGUCAGGAUUAGCCCAGGUGGGAUUAGCUUGUUGGUGAGGUAAUGGCUCACCAAGGCAACGAUCCCUAGCUGGUCUGAGAGGAUGAUCAGCCACACUGGAACUGAGACACGGUCCAGACUCCUACGGGAGGCAGCAGUGGGGAAUAUUGCACAAUGGGGGAAACCCUGAUGCAGCCAUGCCGCGUGUAUGAAGAAGGCCUUCGGGUUGUAAAGUACUUUCAGUAGGGAGGAAGGCAGUGUCGUUAAUAGCGGCAUUGUUUGACGUUACCUACAGAAGAAGCACCGGCUAACUCCGUGCCAGCAGCCGCGGUAAUACGGAGGGUGCGAGCGUUAAUCGGAAUUACUGGGCGUAAAGCGCAUGCAGGCGGUCUGUUAAGCAAGAUGUGAAAGCCCGGGGCUCAACCUCGGAACAGCAUUUUGAACUGGCAGACUAGAGUCUUGUAGAGGGGGGUAGAAUUUCAGGUGUAGCGGUGAAAUGCGUAGAGAUCUG